rnacentral:rRNA from 1 species
UCGAACGAUAAGGUCUCUUCGGAGACACAUAAGUGGCGGACGGGUGAGUAAUAUGUAGAGAAUCUGCCCUAGAGUGGGGGACAACAGUUGGAAACGACUGCUAAUACCGCAUAUGAGCGUAGCUGAAAUGCUAUUCUUGAAAACUCCGGUGCUCUAGGAUGAGUCUGCAUCUGAUUAGCUAGUUGGGGGUGUAAUGGACCACCAAGGCGACGAUCAGUAGCUGGUUUGAGAGGAUGAUCAGCCACAAUGGGACUGAGACACGGCCCAUACUCCUACGGGAGGCAGCAGUAGGGAAUUUUGCGCAAUGGGCGAAAGCCUGACGCAGCAACGCCGCGUGACCGAUGAAGCCCUUCGGGGUGUAAAGGUCUGUCAGUGGGGACGAAAUCUGACGGUACCCACAGAGGAAGCAUCGGCUAACUCCGUGCCAGCAGCCGCGGUAAUACGGGGGAUGCAAGCGUUGUCCGGAAUCAUUGGGCGUAAAGAGUUCGUAGGUGGUUUGUUAAGUUUGGUGUUAAAUGCAGGGGCUCAACUUCUGUUCGGCAUCGGAUACUGGCAGACUAGAAUGCGGUAGAGGUAAAGGGAAUUCCUGGUGUAGCGGUGAAAUGCGUAGAUAUCA